rnacentral:rRNA from 1 species
GGUUCGAUUCCGGAGAGGGAGCCUGAGAAACGGCUACCACAUCUAAGGAAGGCAGCAGGCGCGCAAAUUACCCAAUCCCGGCUCGGGGAGGUAGUGACAAAAAUAACAAUGCGGGACUCUUAUGAGGCUUCGUAAUUGGAAUGAGUACAUUCUAAAUCCUUUAACGAGGAACUAUUGGAGGGCAAGUCUGGUGCCAGCAGCCGCGGUAAUUCCAGCUCCAAUAGCGUAUAUUAAAGUUGUUGCGUCUAAAAAGCUCGUAGUUUGAAAACUUGCCUUGGCUUACAACAGACGUCUAAGGGCGUCACCGUUUGUCGAGAGCAAAUAUGGGUGACUGUUCUUGCCUUCUUCACUGAUUGGCUCGUAAAAGUCAUCGAAGAUCACUUUGAUUAAAUUAGGGUGCUCAAAGCAAGUGUGCUACUUGAAUAUGAAUGCAUGGAAUGAUGGAAUAUGUUGUUGUUCUAUUUGUUGGUUUUUUGAAUGACGAAAUGAUUGAAAGGAACUGUUGGGGGCAUUCGUAUUGUUGUGAGAGAGGUGAAAUUCUUAGACCAUAGCAAGACGAACUACUGCGAAAGCAUUUGCCAAGAAUGUUUUCAUUGAUCAAGAACGAAAGUUAGAGGUUCGAAGGCGAUCAGAUACCGCCCUAGUUCUAACCAUAAACUAUGCCGACUAGCAAUUUGCUUUGUAUUUUUAUGACUAAGUGAGAGGCCACGGGAAACCAAAGUAGGGUUAUGGGGGAAGUAUGGUUGCAAAGCUGAAACUUAAAGGAAUUGACGGGGGCCCGCACAAGCGGAGGAGCAUGUGGUUUAAUUCGAUGAUACGCGAGGAACCUUACCUGGGCUUGAAAGUUAGUGACCGGUGGUGAAAGCCACUUUUCCGCAAGGACACGAAACUAGGUGCUGCAUGGCUGUCGUCAGCUCGUGCCGUGAGGUGUUGGGUUAAGUCCCGCAACGAGCGCAACCCCUAUCUUUAGUUGCCAGCGAGUAAUGUCGGGGACUCUAGAGAAACUGCCCGUGCAAACGGUGAGGAAGGUGGGGAUGACGUCAAGUCAGCACGGCCCUUACGUCCAGGGCUACACACGUGCUACAAUGGCGAGUACAAAGGGCAGCUACACAGUGAUGUGAUGCUAAUCUCUAAAGCUCGUCUCAGUUCGGAUUGAAGUCUGCAACUCGACUUCAUGAAGCUGGAUUCGCUAGUAAUCGUAGAUCAGCAAUGCUACGGUGAAUACGUUCCCGGGCCUUGUACACACCGCCCGUCAAGCCAUGGAAGUUGGGAGUACCUGAAGUCCAUCACCGCAAGGAGUGGCCUAGGGUAAAACCAAUGACUGGGGCUAAGUCGUAACAAGGUAGCCGUAUCGGGAGGUGCGGCUG